UCGGGCCGGGUGCCUUUUCAACUUCUACUUCGUAACGAAACAGUGAUUUUGAAACUUUUCUGCCAAUGGUAAUCAGCACGGGCAUAAGAGCAGCAACAGCAACUGAUACUUUUGACGAAAUGACAAGUGGGGUCUCAUCAUUGAAAGGGUGUUCCUGUUUCUACCGCCGCAUCCACGGCCGCGUGUACUGCAUUAAGUGUUUGAUUCCAAAAAUUUAUAUAUAAUGUGUCAUUUGGUUACGUAUUUUAAGUUACUACGUAUGUAGGUAUGUUCCUACAAGAUGAAAGCUCUUGCAAAUUGUUCUAGAUUUGACUGAAACCAGAAGGUUUCAGUUGAAGCAAGAUAAGUAAGAAAAUAAGUAAGAAAAUUGUCUAAAUGAUUUUUAGUUGCGAUCUAAUUUUAUAUUUUUUAAGGUCAAGCACAAAGAGCAUUUUCAAUAAAUUAUUAUUAUCAUGUAUGGAGUCCAUAAUAUUUAAUAAAUGUGAAACUGCUUAAGGAUAA